UUUGAAAUUUUAAGCAACUAUUUAGACAACGAGGGUUCUUCUUCAAUUGAGGCUGCAGACAGGAUGCGCAGAUGGCAAAAGCCGCCAAAGGUAGUGACUCCUCUUCUUUUUUUUGAUAGAAAGUGACUUCUCUUAUUCGAGUCAUUUCGUCUGUUCUUGAAUUUCAAUGGGUCUAAUGCAAAUCUGGUUUACGAGACUAAUUUCUGGAAGCCAGUAUGGGUUGAAACUCAUUGUAUAAUAAGCCAGGAUAAUAAGCAUUAAUGUUCCUAAGUGUCCUGAUCCAGAGAUCUGGAUAUAUUUAUGUUUCCUUAAGAAGCCCUUAGGUAAUGUGCAAGGGUGAUAAUGCAUUGGUCCUGCCACUCAUGCAAAGAUGCAAAUGAAUUGUGCACAGAAGUGGAUUCAGGAGUGCUGAUUGGAUUUACCAAUUGGAAGGGAGCCAAUGGGGGGAGUUCCUCAGCAAUCUUGGGGUCUACAGCUAUUGAAGUAUUGAACUGGCUAGCAAUGACAUCAAUGUCAAUGCUUGAUUGUUGG